rnacentral:sRNA from 1 species
ACUUAAACCCGAUAGAAGCGGAUACCGGCCUUCGCGCCUAAUGCCUGCAGGCGUAUGAGCGGAUAGCGGGACUACAG